CCUACGGGGGGCAGCAGUGGGGAAUAUUGCGCAAUGGGCGAAAGCCUGACGCAGCGACGCCGCGUGAGGGAUGAAGGUCUUCGGAUCGUAAACCUCGGUCAGCAGGGAAGAACGGUCACUGUGCUAAUCAGCAGUGAAUUGACGGUACCUGCAAAGGAAGCACCGGCUAACUCCGUGCCAGCAGCCGCGGUAAUACGGAGGGUGCGAGCGUUAAUCGAAAUUACUGGGCGUAAGGCGCUCGUAGGCGGUAGGUCAAGUCAAGGGUGAAAUCCCCGCGCUCAACGUGGGAACUGCCUUUGAAACUGGCAAACUGGAGUGUGUGAGAGGAUAGUGGAAUUCCAGGUGUAGGAGUGAAAUCCGUAGAUAUCUGGAGGAACAUCAGUGGCGAAGGCGACUAUCUGGAACAUAACUGACGCUGAGGAGCGAAAGCGUGGGUAGCAAACAGGAUUAGAUACCCGGGUAGUC
rnacentral:rRNA from 1 species